rnacentral:lncRNA from 1 species
AGAUAAGAUCAUGUGUUGAAAAUUAGGCCUCCGUGCUUCCGAGUCAUUUUUUUCUGAGCCGUUUUCGAUGAUGGAAUUUCGAAUCGACGAUCGGUUCUGUUAGACUUGAUCUAGCGUAUUUGAAGUUUUAGAAUAUAAUUUUUGCGAUUUUUCGAUAUUAUUUACCUAGCAAUCGAAAGGAUUCAAAAUCAAUAAUUUUUAACGGCUGAAAAUAAAAAUCUUAUAAAAAGUGAUGAUAUAGCACUAAAAUUUUUAAUCAGAAAUAUUAAUAUUGUUGUACAUAGUAUAAAAAAUUUUGUAUCAAAAUUUCAUCUGAUUUGAAUACUUCUACACCGUUAAACUUGAAAACGGUAGAUAUCAACCAUUAAAAAUUAUUGAUUUUUAAUAUAAAUAUUUAUGAAUUUCAAAAAUAUAAAGUUUUAAUAUUCAAAAAUAUAAAUUUAAAUUUUAAAUUUCAAAGUUUAAA